AGGGUGUAAACGCUGCAGACUUGGUGUUGGGAACCCUUCGGGGGUGCUCAGUGCCGGAGAGAAGUUGUUAAGUCUGCUACUUGGGGAGUACGUCCGCAAGGAUGAAACUUAAAGGAAUUGGCGGGGGAGCACCGCAACGGGAGGAGCGUGCGGUUUAAUUGGACUCAACGCCGAAAAACUCACCAGCAGCGACUGUUACAUGAAAGUCAGGUUGAUGACCUUACUAGAUUUUCAGAGAGGUGGUGCAUGGCGUCAGUGACU
rnacentral:rRNA from 1 species